GGGGGAGUAGUAUAGCUUGGUCCAGUAUGAUACCUUGGGGUGGUAUUGACCCCGGUUCGAAUCCGGGCUCUCCCA
rnacentral:tRNA from 1 species